rnacentral:pre_miRNA from 1 species
UAGUUUUGUCCUAAUUCAAACGUCUCUAACUUUGACCAAAUCUGUAGAAAAAUAUGUUAAUUUCCACAAUCCCAAAUACAUACACUAUUAAUACAUAUUUCAUUGUGGAUUUAAUGAAACUAAUUUGAUGUUGUAGAUGUUGGUAAUUUUUUUUCUAUAAAUUUGGUCAAAGUUAGACAAGUUUAACUUUGAACAAAGCUAA